GAAGAGUCUGUUCAACAUGUGGUCGUGACUGCUAUUCAAGAGUUGAUGAGUAAAGAAAUAUUGAGCUCUCCUGCAAAUGAUGCUGUUGGAGAAUUAGAGCAACAGCUUAAAAGGGCCUUGGAAGAACUUCAGGAAGCACUAUCAGAAAAAGAAGAGCUGAGGCAGAGAUGCGAAGAACUGGAUAUGCAG